CCGAGGCCUGCCCUCUCGGCAGGAGGACGAAUGCUGGGGAGGCAGGGACCGCGCUGCCCUGGGCACAUGCCCAUUCCCCUGGAGCCCCAGGCCCUGCUCUCCAUGCCAGGACACAGGCAGGGUCAGCAAAGGUGAAGGCGGGAACACAGGAGGCCGAGAGCCACAGAUACUGCCCAAGAGGAGCCUCCUGAGCGGCCAUCUGAGAGGAAGCCUCUCCCUGCCAAGGACGCCCAACAGGCCCUACCUGGCGAUGAGCAGCUCCACCAGGUGCAGGUGGCCGCAGGUGGCCGCAGCAUGCAGAGGCGUCCAGCACUCACUGUCACAGGCAUUGAUGUUGGCCCCAGCCUCCAGGAGCUGCUGCACCAUCUCUCGGAAAUCAUCAAUGCAGCACUGCAAACCGUGCCACGUGAGCGACCAGAGCACGGGGGCCAGCCCCCACCCUGCCCACACCCAGUGCAGGCUGACCUGGUGCAGGGCCGUCAGGCCGUCCUCGUUGGCCAAGUCAGGGCUGACCCCACUCCCAAGGAACUGGCGGACUGCAAAAAGGUGGCGAGGCCUCCCGGGAGGGCUCCUGUCCACAUGGAAAGAUGCAGGCCAGACACUGCCGGCUCCUCUUUACUCUCUGCUCCGGAGGGAGGCAGGAAGGAGUCUCAAGGGCCACCACAGUGCCUCUUCCCCCAAGACUCCAGAGCACCAGAAGUGGAACCCACACAGCUGGGGCUGCAAGCGUGGGGCACAGGUCAUUUCGGGCAGCGGCCUCCAGAAGGACAACACUGGGAGGGAAGAGGACCUGCUUCAGGAGCCCUUGGCUGGCUGCCUCC
rnacentral:lncRNA from 1 species